AAUAGAUACCCCGGUAGUCCACGCCGUAAACGGUGGGCACUAGGUGUGGGCGACAUUCCACGUCGUCCGUGCCGCAGCUAACGCAUUAAGUGCCCCGCCUGGGGAGUACGGCCGCAAGGCUAAAACUCAAAGGAAUUGACGGGGGCCCGCACAAGCGGCGGAGCAUGUGGCUUAAUUCGACGCAACGCGAAGAACCUUACCAAGGCUUGACAUACACCGGAAACGUCCAGAGAUGGGCGCCCCCUUGUGGUCGGUGUACAGGUGGUGCAUGGCUGUCAUCAGCUCGUGUCGUGAGAUGUUGGGUUAAGUCCCGCAACGAGCGCAACCCUUGUCCCGUGUUGCCAGCAGGCCCUUGUGGUGCUGGGGACUCACGGGAGACCGCCGGGGUCAACUCGGAGGAAGGUGGGGACGACGUCAAGUCAUCAUGCCCCUUAUGUCUUGGGCUGCACACGUGCUACAAUGGCCGGUACAAUGAGCUGCGAUACCGCGAGGUGGAGCGAAUCUCAAAAAGCCGGUCUCAGUCCGGAUUGGGGUCUGC
rnacentral:rRNA from 1 species